rnacentral:rRNA from 1 species
AUUGAACGCUGGCGGCAUGCCUUACACAUGCAAGUCGAACGGCAGCACGGGUGCUUGCACCUGGUGGCGAGUGGCGAACGGGUGAGUAAUACAUCGGAACGUACCUUAUCGUGGGGGAUAACGCAGCGAAAGCUGUGCUAAUACCGCAUACGCCCUGAGGGGGAAAGCGGGGGAUCGCAAGACCUCGCGCGAUUAGAGCGGCCGAUGCCUGAUUAGCUAGUGGGUGGGGUAAAAGCCCAACAAGGCGACGAUCAGUAGCUGGUCUGAGAGGAUGAUCAGCCACACUGGGACUGAGACACGGCCCAGACUCCUACGGGAGGCAGCAGUGGGGAAUUUUGGACAAUGGGGGCAACCCUGAUCCAGCAAUGCCGCGUGAGUGAAGAAGGCCUUCGGGUUGUAAAGCUCUUUUGUCAGGGAAGAAACACCGGCUCUAACACAGUCCGGGAAUGACGGUACCUGAAGAAUAAGCACCGGCUAACUACGUGCCAGCAGCCGCAGUAA